GACGAACGCUGGCGGCGUGCCUAAUACAUGCAAGUCGAGCGGACGAAUCGAAAGCUUGCUUUUGAUUCGUUAGCGGCGGACGGGUGAGUAACACGUGGGCAACCUGCCCUGUAGACGGGGAUAACACCGAGAAAUCGGUGCUAAUACCGGAUAACACGAAAUGUCGCAUGACGUUUCGUUGAAAGACGGCGCAAGCUGUCGCUACAGGAUGGGCCCGCGGCGCAUUAGCUAGUUGGUGAGGUAACGGCUCACCAAGGCGACGAUGCGUAGCCGACCUGAGAGGGUGAUCGGCCACACUGGGACUGAGACACGGCCCAGACUCCUACGGGAGGCAGCAGUAGGGAAUCUUCCGCAAUGGACGAAAGUCUGACGGAGCAACGCCGCGUGAGCGAAGAAGGCCUUCGGGUCGUAAAGCUCUGUUGUUAGGGAAGAACAAGUAACGCAGUAACUGGCGUUACCGUGACGGUACCUGACGAGAAAGCCACGGCUAACUACGUGCCAGCAGCCGCAGUAA
rnacentral:rRNA from 1 species